CUAUCUACUAUGAAGAGCCCUAUCGUGUAAGGUUGUGGGACCUACCUGAAAUGGUGAACAAAAAAUACCAGGAAGGCCCCCAGGUAGAAGAUGAGGAAGAAGAGAAAGCACAGGAGGGUGGCGUGGAGGUAGACGGUGUCUGGCGACAACAAAAUAAUCUCUUAUGGUUAAAGGCAGAAGGCUCGGAGCAGGUGACUUCUGACAUGUGAUCGCUGCAUGUGGAGAAUAUUGUCACCACCCACAGGAGAAUGACAGGGGGAAGAGGGCCCUGCGUCCGAGGGGUGAGCGCGGCCAGGACCCACCUGUAUAGUGAUGGCGAUUUUCUUUGUCAUAGACUGGUAGACUCCAUUGAAUUCCACGUUAUGAUCGAGGUCAUAAACAGGACACUAGACAAGAGAGAA